rnacentral:misc_RNA from 1 species
AAGUCGUAACAAGGUUACCGUAGGUGAACCUGCGGUAGGAUCAUUAACAAAUCCUUAGGCUCCGGCCUAUAUGCACCGGUAGCGAUGCGCUGUGGCGUUCGCUGCCGUGUAAAAAGUGCUUUGCACAAGUAUAUAAGUGGGACAAUAUUUAUUUUGGGAAUAUAAAACAACUUUUACCAAUGGAUCUCUAGGCUCUU